GGGCCAGUAGAUCAGUUGGCAGAUCGCCACCUUGGCAUGGUGGAGGCCAGGGGUUCAAAUCCCCUCUGGUCCA
rnacentral:tRNA from 1 species